CGCACCUUGCGCUCCUUGGUAUUCCGAGGAGCAUGCCUGUUUGAGUGUCAUUAAAUUCUCAACUACAUCAGUUUUACAACUGACUGUGGCUUGGAUGUUGGGGGUACACUUGCGGGCCUCUAUUAUUGAGGUCGGCUCCCCUAAAAUGCAUUAGCAGAACUGUUUGUGGUCAGUCACCGGUGUGAUAAUUAUCUACAUCCAAGACAAUGGCUACUCUCUGUGUUCAGCUUCUAAUCGUCCACUUGUGGACAACUUUGAAUACUUGACCUCAAAUCAGGUAGGACUACCCGCUGAACUUAA
rnacentral:misc_RNA from 1 species